AGGCCUCUCAGCCUAGUUUGGGUACUUCUUUGUGCUUUCAUUACACCCUGUGUUUCCUGGCCUUGGCAUUUACUAUGCUAUUGGUAGUGCUUAUCUUGUUUACCCACUAAACCAACUUGGAGGUCAACAUGAUUCUGGUACCUGGAACACCUGACAGGUAGUGGACACUUAGUAAAUACUCUAUGAAUUCAUGUAAGUAGUUAUGGCAUGCAGCUUUUCAGUCACUCAAACCUGACCUCUUACACUAGCGUGCCAUAGAGCCUACAUUUCCUACACUCAGCCAAAUUCUUUAAAGAGAUAUCCAUAUUUUUGAGCACUAGUAUGUUCCAGGCCUUGGGGAUAGAUAUAUAGCUAUAGUGGAUGAGACAGAGUAAGUCCUGUUCUCAUAAAGCAUGUGUUAUAAGAGCCCCUUAAAAAAAAAUUGUGAGGCUCGGCAUGGUGGCUCACACCUGGGAAGCCAAGGUGGGAGGAUCACUUGAGCCCAGGAGUUUGAGACAAGCCUGGGCAACAUGGGGAGUCCCUGUCUCUACAAAAAAAUAAA
rnacentral:lncRNA from 10 species